rnacentral:rRNA from 1 species
GACGAACGCUGGCGGCGUGCUUAACACAUGCAAGUCGAACGAAGUGGCGAACGGGUGAGUAACGCGUAAUCAACCUGCCCUUCAGAGGGGGACAACAGUUGGCAACGACUGCUAAUACCGCAUACUGAAGGAGGGGAUUGCGUUUGAUUAGCUAGUUGGAGGGGUAACGGCCCACCAAGGCGAUGAUCAGUAGCCGGUUUGAGAGGGUGGACGGGCACAUUGGGAAUGGGAAACGGGCCAAAAUCCUACGGGAAGGAGCAAUGGGGAAUCUUCCGCAAUGGAGGAAAAUCUGACGGAGCAACGGCGCGUGAGUGAUAGCGGCCUUCGGGUUGUAAAGCUCUGUUAAUCGGGACGCGGUACCGGAAUAGAAAGCCACGGCUAACUACGUGCCAGCAGCCGCGGUAAUUC